GACGAACGCUGGCGGCGUGCUUAACACAUGCAAGUCGAACGGAAAGGCCUUUUCGUAGGUACUCUAGUGGCGCACGGGUGAGUAACACGUGGGUGAUCUUCCCUGCACUCUGGGAUAAGCCUGGGAAACUGGGUCUAAUACCGGAUAGGACCGCACUUUAGUGUGUGUGGUGGAAAGUUUUUUCGGUGUAGGAUGAGCCCGCUGCCUAUCAGCUUGUUGGUGGGGUAAUGGCCUACCAAGGCAGCGACGGGUAGCCGGACAGAGAGGUGGGUCGGCAACAUUGGGACUGAGAUACGGCCCAGAAGCCUACGGGAGGCAGCAGUGGGGAAGAUUGCACAAUGGGCGCAAGCCUGAUGCAGCGAAGCCGCGUGGGGGAUGACGGCCUUCGGGUUGUAAACUACUUUCGCCAGGGACGAAGCGUUUUGUGACGGUACCUGGAGAAGAAGCACCGGCUAACUACGUG
rnacentral:rRNA from 1 species